UUUUUAGAUGGAAUUUGAAUAAGCAGAAUAACAGAUUGACAAAUGAAGAGACAGAAAGUCUAAAGGAAAGCAAUUUGGUUGAGGAAUGGUAAGUAUAUAUAGUGAUUACAUUUUUAUUAAGCAAGGAAGAAAUAAUUUCAUAAUGAUUGAAAACCUGAGUUAUCUCCCAUAUUUAAAGUUUGUCCAAAUACAUUUUUACUAAAAAUAGGGGAAGUAAGAAAAUAUCGUUUUACAGUAAUAAUAUUCUAUAUAUAAUAGAUAAAAUAGUGUUAUUGUUAAUAUGCUUGUUUCAAAUCAGGAACCUAGGUAUAGUUGUUAUAUUUCAACUAAACUAAUUGUGAUUCCUCUUGUUUCUUAGAAAUUGGUAAGGCCAAAUAAAAAAAGAAGUGUGUUUCAUAUUAUGGUACUCACCCUAUUUUUCAAGCUCGAAAAUAGCCUACCCUGAAGUUUAUUUUGUAAUUUUCUAUGAGCACUGUUAAAAGUCAGAGUGUCCCUCCCAUAACCUCAAUGCAAAAAUAUUAUUAUUUUUGGCCUAGUGGAAGUUCUAAGAUAAUCUCUGGAUUUCUUAACUUGUCUAAUUUACAGCUUGAUAAAAUCUGCAGUUACUAUUAAUGAAUUUUCGGCUCUCCCUUGACACCAUUUGUGAGUAUGGUUAUGAGGAAACAAUGGUAGUCUGUAGGAAGUGGACGAUAAAUGGCUGACCUGUGUUAAUAGGUACCAUAUCUCUUGCACAUAAAAGACACCCUUGUGGAUUUCGAAAAAAAGAGCAGGCUAAUGCCGCUACAAAGCAGCACUCGCACCCACAAAGUGGAUUUAUAUAAAUUGCAAUAACUUGUUUCCCAAUCCACUAUAAAUAAAUAUGUUUGAAUUAAACAUUAAUGAUCCCAGAUAUGUUGACCACCAGAUGUGUUUUAAUUUUAUAAACUAUGUAUUCAUGAAUAAAGCAUGGAUGCCAACCAUUUCCUGCUAAAUCAGCUUUCCCGUAGAUGGAUGCUUCAGGUCUUGUACACCAGAAUGUUAUUAGUAUGACAACAAUCCAAAAUUUAUUUAUCAGUUGUAAAGCUGAUAUUGCUUUAAAUUGUACUCUCAACCUUUAGGUAGGUGCACAAAAUUCAAUCAAAAAAAUAUUAACAGUCAUGACAGUGAUAUGUUUUAAAAGGUUUUGAGAAUUAAUUUUAAGGUUAAAUCUAUGAUUGUAAAGCACAACACCAUAAUGUUAAAAAGUUCAGUGUAGCAUAAUUUUGCUUGACAGUGUUUACAAUCUGUUUCAAAGCAAGAUAGAUUGUAACCUUUGGUUAGCAAAACAUAAGAAAGCAUAAGUAUGGCAUGGAUUAACAUAGCAGCUGCACCAAAAUAACACUACUAAUAGCAUGCAUAAGCAUAAAAACUUCAAUGCUAUGCUGACUUGCUGAUCUUAUGGUUGUUCUUAUUCUCUCAAUUUCUGGUAAAUUUUAUUUUAAUUGACACAAAUUGAUAAAUUGAUUGUUUUCUGAGUGCUUGUUUCCUAACCUGUCCUAUAAGAUUUACAAAAAAAUAUCACAAAAAUUCUGCCCAAUUUUUUUCAUUUUUCACCAGGAUCUUCAACAGUGUGUUUUAUAACUUUAAUUUUACAAAUUUGACUCUGCAAACAUAUGUUAAAAUAAAUUAAUGAUGUUCACAAUGAUGUUACUGAUUUUUUUUACUUUGCAAUAUAAUGACCUAAAGGGGGGGGGGGCUCCAGUCAUGCUUCAAUGAUUCCCUAUAUAAUCAACCAAAUUCCACCCCCCUGGAUCCGCCUAUGGAAAGUGUUCCGAACAGAAUAUAAAGUUGGACUUUGCAUUCAAAUGGAAGAAAAACUUGACUUCAGGAUCACAUGUUUUAAUGCAUCAAUGAUAUAAUUGUUAUUUAUGAUGUUUAUUUGUGUAUAAUCUUUCUUUUUUGCAGUCUGAUUAAAACCAACCCCACCAUCCACUUGCAGUAGGGUCUGGUUUUAAUCAGACUCUCUUUGUAGCAGAUUGUACUUCAAACAACAGAACCAUAAGCUCCAUUGGGGAGUAGCAAGUAUUUUCUCUAAAGGAAUUAAUGAAAGUGUUCAGGAUAAAAUAAAAAAAUAUUUUUAGGUCAAUAUAAUUUAACAAAUUAAAGAAAUUUUUGACUUUGCAAUAUAUAAUUUAACAAAUUUAAGAAAAGUUUGACUUUGCUAUCAAAUUUAAGAAAAAAUUGACUUCACAAUCACAUGUUUUAAUACAUCCAUGAUAUUAAUGUUAUUAUGAUGUUUUUUUGUGUGUAAUCUUUCUUUUUUUGCAGUCUGAUUAAAACCAGCCCCACCAUCAACUUGCAGUAGGGGCUGGUUUUAAUCAGACUCUGUUUGUAGCAGAUUGUUCUUCACACAACUGGACUAAGCUCCAUUUGGGAGUAGCAAGUGUUGGCUAUCAAAUAAUUAAUGAAAGUGUUCAGAAUAAAUUAAAAACAUAUUUUUUAGGUCAAUAUAAUUUAACAAACUAAAGAAAAUUUUGACUUUGCAAUAUAAUUUAACAAAUUUAAGAAAACUUUGACUUUGCUAUCAAAUUUACGAAAAAAUUGACUUGGCAAUCACAUGUUUUAAUAUAUAUAUCCAUGAUAUUAAUGUUAUUUAUGAUGUUUUUUGUGUGUAAUCUUUCUUUUUUGCAGUCUGAUUAAAACCAGCCCCACCAUCAACUUACAGUAGGGGCUGGUUUUAAUCAGACUGUCUUUGUAGCAGAUUGUUCUUCACACAACUGGACUCCAUUUGAGAGUAGCAAGUAUUUUUUUUAAAGGACUUAAUGAAAGUGUUCAGAAGAAUUAAAAAUAUAUUUUUAGGUCAAUAUAAUUUAACAAAUUAAAGAAAUUUUUGACUUUGCAAUAUAUAAUUUAACAAAUUUAAGAAAAGUUUGACUUUGCUAUCAAAUUUAAGAAAAAAUUGACUUCACAAUCACAUGUUUUAAUACAUCCAUGAUAUUAAUGUUAUUUAUGAUGUUUUUUUGUGUGUAAUCUUUCUUUUUUGCAGUCUGAUUAAAACCAGCUCCACCAUCAACGUACAGUAGGGGCUGGUUUUAAUCAAACUCUCUUUGUAGCAGAUUGAUUUCACACAACUGGACUAAGCUCCAUUUGGGAGUAGCAAGUUUUUUUCAAAGAAUUAAUGAAAGUGUUCAGAAUAAAUUAAAAAUAUAUUUUUUAGGUCAAUUUAAUUUAACAAAUUUAGAAAGAUCGACUUUGCAAUCAAAUUUAAGAAAAAAUGACUUUGCAAUCACAUGUUUUAAUACAUCCAUGAUAUUAUUGUUAUUUAUGAUGUUUUUUGUUGGUGUAAUCAUUCUUUUUUGACAGUCUGAUUAAAAUCCAAGCCGACAUCAACUUGCAGUAGGGGCUGGUUUUAAUCAGACUGUCUUUGUAGCAGAUUGGUCUUCACACAACUGUACUAAGCUCAAUUUGAGAGUAGCAAAAGAGGGACGAAAGAUACCAAAGGGACAGUCAAACUCGUAAAUCUAAAACAAACUGACAACGCCAUGGCUAAAAAUGAAAAAGACAAACAGAAAAAACAAUAGUACACAUGACACAACAUAGAAAACUAAAAAAUAAACACGAACCCCACCAAAAACUAGGGGUGAUCUCAAGUGAAUGAAAGUGUUCAGAAUAAAAUAAAAAUAUAUUUUUAGGUCAAAAUAAUUUAACAAAUUAAAGAAAAUUUUGACUUUGUAAUAUAAUUUAACAAAUUUAAGAAAAGUUUGACAAUCACAUGUUUUAAUAUAUCUAUGAUAUUAAUGUUAUUUAUGAUGUUUUUUUGUGUGUAAUCUUUCUUUUUUGCAGUCUGAUUAAAACCAGCCCCACCAUCAACUUGCAGUAGGGGCUGGUUUAAAUCAGACUGUCUUUGUAGCAGAUUGUUCCUUACACAACUUGACUAAGCUCCAUUUUGGAGUAGCAGGUGUUGGCUCUAAAGGAAUUAAUGAAAGUGUUUAGAAUAAAAUAAAAACAUUAUUUUAGGUCAAUAUAAUUUAACAAAUUAAUUAUGACUUUGCAAUAUAAUUUUACAAAUUAAAAAGUGUUGACUUUGCAAUAAUAAUUAACAAAUUUAAGAAAAGAUUGACUUUGCAAUCAUGUUGAAAACUAUUUUGAGGUUCUGCCCUGUAGGUCAUGGUCCAACAAAUUUGAAUUAAUUACCAAUUUUCAUGUUAAAUUUUUUGCUUUAGUUAAUUUGAUAGGAUAUAUAUACUUGUUAUAGAAAAAGUCUACCUCCAAAUUCAACAAAUAUUUUGUUAAUCAGCAUAAUUAUAACUUACGUGUUUGUUCACUAUAAACGGAUUAAUGUCAGCUUAUAGCCUUAAUUAAUGUAUCGGAUGUUUCUUUGCUUGUGUCUGUACAGAAGCACAUAUAUUAAAUUGCUGAUCUAAUAUAUAUUUAAUUGAUUAAUUAAGGACAUCUAAAGUAAAAUGAACAGUUUAGAAAAUAGAUUAUAAAUAGUUGAGAUUAUACUCUUUUAUAUUUGGAAAAUUGCAACUUAGCUUUGAAAAUUGGCAUUAGACAACUUGUUUAGUUGCCAAAAAGGCUUUGUGUGAAUCAAUCCUACAUCUUUUAUCAAUUAGACAGCAACCCAAUUACUAAAAAAAAUAUGGUCUCAAACAAUCGAAAAUUAAGUGUCUUGUAUAAUAUGUCAGCUUGGUUGACCGUUAUGGAAUAUCUGUUUCACAGAUUAUAAAGGAUAUGUUCCUUCUGUGGUAACUACAAUCCCUUUUCUCGAAUGUGAUCUACCCAAUUAGACAAUAGGUUUAAACUAACAUGGGCAACACGACGGGUGCCACAUUUGAAGCAGGAUCUGCUUCCCCUUCUGGAGUACCUUAGAUCACCCUAAUUUUUGGUGGGGAUAAUGUUGCUUAGGUUUUUUUUCUUAGAGCAUGGCAUUGUCAGUUUAUUUUCGAUUUAUGCGUUUGAAUGUCCAUUUGGUAUCUUUCGUCCCUCUUUUAAACACUAAUUUAGAAAAAAAAGUGUAUGAAUCUAGCUGAAACUAUCAAAGAUCUUCAUCAUCAACAAAUUACUUAAUUUAAAAAAAAAAAUGAUUUCAGUUUUCAGAAACAUUUAAUGCCAUAUUUGGAUGUCUGGUUAAUGAUGAAUUAUAAGCAAUUAAAUAAAUUUGAGAUGUUAUCUGGUGUUAAUGGCCAUAAUUAAUUAUCCUAUGUUAAGGGGAAUAUGUGCACUACAUUAUAAAUUGGCAGAAAAAUAUUUGUAUUCAAAAGUAAAAUGUUUUAAUGCAAAUAAAUAUCAAAUUAUAAAUUCAGAAAUACAUCUUACUUUCUAGCCAUUUCUAUACUAAUAUUUAACCUACAAUCUAACAAACCUAACAUUUUUUCUUUAUCAUUGGUCAUUUCUAAGUUGUGAUUUCUUUAUUUCUGACUAUUUUGCUGGUUUGAAUGGUUUCCUUUAUUUGAUAGUCGAAACGUUCUCUUUAGUUUUAUAAGAGUUUCCUAGUUAUGUAUUUCUGAAAUUAUUCAUUGGUAUUUUAAGAACUUUAAAAAAAAUCUAUUUUUGUAUUAUUAAAAUUAAUUAAAUUGUCUCAUUUGAUUCAUUAACAAUUUGAUAUGUUUCGUAAUUAUUUCUUGAUAAUAUUACCAUUGUAGUGCAUAUUAUUCAUCUGCUAAAAUUGUCCAGAUCCUUGUCCAAUUUUCUAUUAUUUGUUCAGUAGAGAAUUUGGUGUUCAUAGCAGCUCUUUUCUGGUUUCUGCUUUAAAUUCUCAAAUUUUAAAUAUCCAAGUCUGAAAUUUAAUACAGAUGAAAAAAAAAAAAAACUUUGUCAGAAUACUAAUAAAGAUAUAUUUGCGCUAUUUCUCCUUCUUUUCAUGAUCAUUAAAAAAUUGCUUGUAGCAGGUAUUUUCACAUAUAAUGAAAUUUAAAAUUAUACUAAAAAAAAUUUUAAAAAAAUGAGUAAGAUCAUAAAAAAUCCUUUUUUUAUGAAAUUGAGCAGACAUAAUAUUUAUUAAAUAGAAAUGCACUUGAAAUUGAACUCCCUUUUGCUUAAGUUUGAUGUUUAAGUUGCAUAUAUGAAAGCAGAAUUAAUUAAAAAUCUAAAUUUAAUAGUUCCUUUUAGCUCACCUGGCCUGAAGGGCCAAGUGAGCUUUUCUCAUCACUUGGCAUCCCUCGUGGUUAACUUUUACAAAAAUCUUCUCUGAAACUACUGGGCCAAAUUAAACCAAACUUGGCCACACUCAUCAUUGGGGUAUCUAGUUUUAAAAAUGGGUUCCGUGACUUGGCCAAUCAAGAUGGCCACCAUGGCUAAAAAUAGAACAUAGGGGUAAAAUGUAGAUUUUGGCUUAUAUCUCUGAAACCAAAGCAUUAAGAGCAAAUCUGACAAGGGGUAAAACUGUUAAUCAGGUCAAGAUCUAUCUGCUGAGUUAUUAUCAGAUGAACCGGGCAACCCGUUGUUAGGUUGCUGCCCCUGAAUUGGUAAUUUUAAGAACAUAUUGUAGUUUUAGGUUAUUUUCUUGAAUUUUAUUAUAGAGAUAAACUAUAAACAGCAAAGUAAGAUCUACAAAUAAGUCACAUGACCAAAAUGGAUAGGUAGCUGCCCCUAAAUUGGUAAUUUUAAGGAAAUUUUGCAGUUUUUGGGUUAUUUUCUUGAAUUUUAUUAUAUAUAGAGAUAAACUGUAAACAGCAAUACUGUUCAGCAAAGUAAGAUAUACAAAUGAGUCAAACAUUACCAAAAUGGUCAGUUGACACCCUAAAGGAGUUAUUGCCCUUUAUAGUUUAUUUAUAAAAAAAUAUUACUAAAAUCAACUACUAUGACAAAUUAACCAAGCUGUCCAUAAUCAUUAUUCGGGUAUGUAGUCAAAAAAUGUGGCCGAUGACACCGCCCGCGAACCAAGAUGGUUGCCCUGGCUAAAAAUAGUACAUAGGGUAAAAUGCAGCUUUUGGCUCAUAUCUCUUAAACCGAAGCAUUUAGAGCAAAUAUGACAGUAUAGAAUGUUUCAUUAGGUGAAGAUCUAUCUGCCCUGAAAUUUUCAGACCAUUCCGGCAUUCCGUUGAUGGGUUGCUGCCCCUGAAUUGGUAAUUUUAAGAAAAUUUUGCAGUUUUUGGUUAUUUUCUUGAAUUUUAUUAUAGAUAGAGAUAAGCUGUAAAGAGCAAUAAUGUUCAGCAAAGUAAGAUAUACAAAUAAGUCAACAUUACCAAUAUGGUCAGUUGACCCCUUAAGGAGUUAUUGACCUCUAUAGUCAAUUUAUAACAAUUUUUCGUAAAUUUUUGUAAGUCUUACUAAAAUCCUCUCCUCACUACAAUGUAGCUGUUAACCAACAUCUUUUGGGUAUUAGUUUAAGGAAUGUGUCCGAUGACCCCGCCCGCGAAGGCCUUUGGACUAAAAAUAGUACAUAAAGUGUUCAGAUUAAAUUGGAAUAUUUGAGAAAAAUUUGAGCAAUAUAAUUCAAUUAGAAAUUAUUGCAUUCCUGUUUAAUGAUCCAUGAUCUAACGUAUUUAGUGUUUUGUCUGGUAAUCUUUUUGAAGUUGAUUCACCAUGAAUUUGCAGUAGGAGUUUUUAAUUGGAAAUUUUAGCAGAUUGAUCUUAAACAUUGACUAAUAGAUUAGAUAGCAAGAUGCCUAAAUAAUUAAUAAAAGUGUCAAAAUAAUUAGAACAUAUUGUUAGUGCAAAAAUUUAACAAUUUGAGAAAUUGCCAACUUACAAAUAAGAAAAAUUGACUUGCAAUACAAAUGUUAUAAUUAUCCAAGAAAUUUAUUUUAUGAUGUUUUUAGGUAAGUAAGUUGCAGUUAAUUAAAAACACUACACAACAAUUGCAGAGAGAUAUCCUUGUAACAAUUUUCUUUGUAGAAUUCAGAUGACAGUUAUUUCCCUUAUUUCUAGCAGUGUUUAAGUAUUUUAUAGUGACCCGUAACAAGUCGUUGCUCAGACAUUUGAUUUCAUUAAUAACUCAUCAAUUGAAGACAUACUAAUUAUAUACAAAUGCGUGCAUCACACAAUCAUACUGAUAAAAAUGGGGGAAAUGCAUUGCUGAAAAUAUUUAUUUCGAGAUAUUAUUCAUUUAUGAUUUUUUCAGGAUUAAUUUUUUCCAUCUAUCAAACCAGUCAAUCCUUGCUAAUAGGGCUGACAUUAAUUGACUCUUUGCUCAUUUUUCUUCCAAGGACCAGCUAAUUUGGCAAGACCCAGUAUUGGUUAAAUAUUAAAAAUUUUAUUCUUAACAAUUAAUAUUGCCACAUGCCUUGCAUUGUAAUUGUUCAAUGUUGGACACCAAAUAGUAUAAAAAUCAAGAACAUUUCUGCAAUAAGCAGCAAGACAUACUUAAAACUGUCAAUAAUAAACCUGAUUAUGAAUAUUGUGAAAAAGAAAAACUUUCUCCUUUCUAUAUUUAAGAACCUUGUGAUAGAAUUUAUCAGUCCAUUUGUAGGUAUUGUUUGAUGCUUCCAAUUCAGGAUUUUUUUGGGGGAAAGGUGAAAAUGAAGGAUGGACAUCAUCACACAGAACAACAUUUUUAAAAGAAAGAGACUCCGUCAUAAAAUACAACUCUGGAAUUUAAUUUGCUGUGAUAGAAUAUAGACUACAAACACUAAUGGACUCGGGAACAAGCUGUGCAAGGGAAGAGAC
rnacentral:lncRNA from 1 species